rnacentral:tRNA from 3 species
AGGCGCGUAGCUCAGUGGUAGAGCACUACCCCGACACGGUAGGGGUCGGCGGUUCGAUCCCGCCCGCGCCUA